UUCUCAUUUAUUCUACAUGUUACUUACAUUCUUAGCCCCUAUUAUACAGAAGAAUUGAUUGACUUUUAAUUACAAUUCCUACAUAAUGAUUACUAGAAACAUUUUCAGAAGGUUCAUGUCAUAAUACCAUUUCCAAAACUCAGUUCAGAAGCUCAUUCUUCCAAAAAGCUAAAAUCAUGUAAACCUGUAAGUCAUAGGCAAGCAAAGUUGCUCAAUGACCCAUUCUUCAAUUG
rnacentral:lncRNA from 1 species